ACCCAGACUGGUAGUGAGGCGUUGGACUCCGAGGCGCUGCAAUGCCGCUGGAGCUGGAGCUGUGUCCCGGGCGCUGGGUGGGCGGGCAACACCCGUGCUUCAUCAUUGCCGAGAUCGGCCAGAACCACCAGGGCGACCUGGACGUAGCCAAGCGCAUGAUCCGCAUGGCCAAGGAGUGUGGGGCUGAUUGUGCCAAGUUCCAGAAGAGUGAGCUAGAAUUCAAGUUUAAUCGGAAAGCCUUGGAGAGGCCAUACACCUCGAAGCAUUCCUGGGGGAAGACGUACGGGGAGCACAAACGACAUCUGGAGUUCAGCCAUGACCAGUACAGGGAGCUGCAGAGGUACGCCGAGGAGGUUGGGAUCUUCUUCACUGCCUCUGGCAUGGAUGAGCAACUUCCCUGGGAGAGGGAAAGAUUUGUGCCCAUGUGAUCAAGUGUGAGAAGCUCACUAAGCCCUAACUUAUUUCUGAGUCACCAUUCAAAGACAUUGAUUUUUUCGACUUUUGAUUUCCAACUUCAAAACAAAACAAAGGGACUCAAGAAAACUUUUGAAGAUGGCAGUUGAAUUCCUGCAUGAACUGAAUGUUCCAUUUUUCAAAGUUGGAUCUGGAGACACUAAUAAUUUUCCUUAUCUGGAAAAGACAGCCAAAAAAGGUCGCCCAAUGGUUAUCUCCAGCGGGAUGCAGUCAAUGGACACCAUGAAGCAAGUUUAUCAGAUUGUGAAGCCCCUCAACCCCAACUUCUGCUUCUUGCAGUGUACCAGCGC
rnacentral:sRNA from 1 species